rnacentral:rRNA from 1 species
GACGAACGCUGGCGGCGUGCUUAACACAUGCAGGUCGAACGGAAAGGCCCUGCUUUUGUGGGGUGCUCGAGUGGCGAACGGGUGAGUAACACGUGAGUAACCUGCCCUUGACUUUGGGAUAACUUCAGGAAACUGGGGCUAAUACCGGAUAGGAGCUCCUGCUGCAUGGUGGGGGUUGGAAAGUUUCGGCGGUUGGGGAUGGACUCGCGGCUUAUCAGCUUGUUGGUGGGGUAGUGGCUUACCAAGGCUUUGACGGGUAGCCGGCCUGAGAGGGUGACCGGACACAUUGGGACUGAGAUACGGCCCAGACUCCUACGGGAGGCAGCAGUGGGGAAUAUUGCACAAUGGGCGGAAGCCUGAUGCAGCAACGCCGCGUGCGGGAUGACGGCCUUCGGGUUGUAAACCGCUUUCGCCUGUGACGAAGCGUGAGUGACGGUAAUGGGUAAAGAAGCACCGGCUAACUACGUG